rnacentral:rRNA from 1 species
UGAGGAAUAUUGGUCAAUGGGCGCAAGCCUGAACCAGCCAAGUAGCGUGAGGGAAGACUGCCCUAUGGGUUGUAAACCUCUUUUGUGCGGGGAUAAAGUGUGGGACGUGUCUCAUAUUGCAGGUACCGCACGAAUAAGGACCGGCUAAUUCCGUGCCAGCAGCCGCGGUAAUACGGAAGGUCCGGGCGUUAUCCGGAUUUAUUGGGUUUAAAGGGAGCGCAGGCCGUCCUUUAAGCGUGCUGUGAAAUGCCGCGGCUCAACCGUGGCACUGCAGCGCGAACUGGAGGACUUGAGUACGCACGAGGUAGGCGGAAUUCGUGGUGUAGCGGUGAAAUGCUUAGAUAUCACGAAGAACUCCGAUUGCGAAGGCAGCUUACCGGAGCGCAACUGACGCUGAGGCUCGAAAGCGCGGGUAUCGAACAGGAUUAGAUACCCUGGUAGUCCGCGCGGUAAACGAUGGAUGCCCGCCGUUGGGUUUUAGAAUUCAGCGGCCAAGCGAAAGCGUUAAGCAUCCCACCUGGGGAGUACGCCGGCAACGGUGAAACUCAAAGGAAUUGACGGGGGCCCGCACAAGCGGAGGAACAUGUGGUUUAAUUCGAUGAUACGCGAGGAACCUUACCCGGGCUUGAAUUGCAGGAGAACGAUCCAGAGAUGGUGAGGCCCUUCGGGGCUCCUGUGAAGGUGCUGCAUGGUUGUCGUCAGCUCGUGCCGUGAGGUGUCGGCUCAAGUGCCAUAACGAGCGCAACCCCUGUCCAUAGUUGCCAUCAGGUCGUGCUGGGCACUCUGUGGAGACUGCCGCCGUAAGGUGUGAGGAAGGUGGGGAUGACGUCAAAUCAGCACGGCCCUUACGUCCGGGGCUACACACGUGUUACAAUGGGGCAUACAGCGAGUUGGAUGUGCGCAAGUACGUCCGGAUCAAUAAAGUGCCUCUCAGUUCGGACUGGGGUCUGCAACCCGACCCCACGAAGCUGGAUUCGCUAGUAAUCGCGCAUCAGCCAUGGCGCGGUGAAUACGUUCCC